rnacentral:Y_RNA from 1 species
GGAUGGUAUGAAGGUAGUGAGUUAUCUCACUUGAUUGCUACAGUUACAGAUUGAACUACUUGUUCUACAACUUUUCCCUCUUCUCACUAUUGCACUUGAUUAGUCUUAA